AUACGUAGGGUGCGAGCGUUGUCCGGAAUUACUGGGCGUAAAGAGCUCGUAGGUGGUUUGUCGCGUCGUCUGUGAAAUUCCGGGGCUUAACUCCGGGCGUGCAGGCGAUACGGGCAUAACUUGAGUACUGUAGGGGAGACUGGAAUUCAUGGGGUAGCGGUGAAAUGCGCAGAUAUCAGGAGGAACACCGGUGGCGAAGGCGGGUCUCUGGGCAGUAACUGACGCUGAGGAGCGAAAGCAUGGGUAGCGAACAGGAUUAGAUACCCUGGUAGUCCAUGCCGUAAACGGUGGGCGCUAGGUGUAGGGGUCUUCCACGACUUCUGUGCCGUAGCUAACGCAUUAAGCGCACCGCCUGGGGAGUACGGCCGCAAGGCUAAAACUCAAAUGAAUUGACGGGG
rnacentral:rRNA from 1 species